rnacentral:rRNA from 1 species
UACGGGAGGCAGCAGUGGGGAAUAUUGCACAAUGGGCGCAAGCCUGAUGCAGCAACGCCGCGUGAGGGACGACGGCCUUCGGGUUGUAAACCUCUUUUAGUAGGGAAGAAGCGAAAGUGACGGUACCUGCAGAAAAAGCACCGGCUAACUACGUGCCAGCAGCCGCGGUAAUACGUAGGGUGCAAGCGUUGUCCGGAAUUAUUGGGCGUAAAGAGCUCGUAGGCGGUUUGUCGCGUCUGCUGUGAAAUCCCGAGGCUCAACCUCGGGCCUGCAGUGGGUACGGGCAAACUAGAGUGUGGUAGGGGAGAUUGGAACUCCUGGUGUAGCGGUGGAAUGCGCAGAUAUCAGGAAGAACACCGAUGGCGAAGGCAGAUCUCUGGGCCAUUACUGACGCUGAGGAGCGAAAGCGUGGGGAGCGAACAGGAUUAGAUACCCUGGUAGUCCACGCCGUAAACGUUGGGAACUAGAUGUAGGGUCCAUUCCACGGAUUCUGUGUCGCAGCUAACGCAUUAAGUUCCCCGCCUGGA